rnacentral:tRNA from 1 species
GCCGGGGUGGCCGAGCCAGGUCCAAGGCGAUCUCCGCAGGAUUGACGCGGAGACCUUUACGGGCCUGCUAAGUCCGUCCCCGCAAGGGGCCCGGGUUCAAAUCCCGGCCCCGGCA